AACAAACGCUGGCGGCGUGCCUAACACAUGCAAGUCGUACGAGAAAGGGUCCUUCGGGGCCUGAGUAAAGUGGCGCACGGGUGAGUAACGCGUGGAUAAUCUGCCCUUCAGUUGGGAAUAACUCAUCGAAAGGUGGGCUAAUACCGAAUAAUGCUGUGAGACCUCGGUUGAUCAGCCAAAGAGAGCCUCUGCUUGCAAGCCCUCGCUGAAGGAUGAGUCCGUGUACCAUUAGCUAGUUGGUAGGGUAAUGGCCUACCAAGGCGACGAUGGUUAGCAGGUCUGAGAGGAUGAGCAGCGACACUGAAACUGAGACACGGUCCAGGCUCCUACGGGAGGCAGCAGUGAGGAAUCUUGCGCAAUGGGGGCAACCCUGACGCAGCAACGCCGCGUGAGUGAGGAAGGUCUUCGGAUCGUAAAGCUCUGUCGGAUGGAAAGAACCGCAUAGGGGUAAACAGCCCCUGUGUCUGACGGUACCAUCAAAGGAAGCACCGGCUAACUCCGUGCCAGCCGCCGCAGUAAAAC
rnacentral:rRNA from 1 species